UUAUGGUUGAUUAAGGGUUAAGGUUAGGGUAAGGGUUAAGGUUAGGGUUAGAUUUUAUGGUUGAUUAAGGGUUAAGGUUAGGGUAAGGGUUAGGUGUAGGGUUCGAUUCUAAGGUUGAUUAAGGGUUAAGGUUAGGGUAAGGGUUAGUUGUAGGGUUCGAUUUUAUGGUUGAUUAAGGGUUAAGGUUAGGGUUGGGUGUAGGGUUAGAUUUUAUGGUUGAUUAAGGGUUAAGGUUAGGGUGGGGUGUAGGGUUAGAUUUUAUGGUUGAUUAAGGGUUAAUGUUAGGGUGGGGUGUAGGGUUAGAUUUUAUGGUUGAUUAAGGGUUAAUGUUAGGGUUAGGUGUAGGGUUAGAUUUUAUGGUUGGUUAAGGGUUAAUGUUGGGGUUAGGUGUAGGGUUAGAUUUUAGGGUUUGUUUAAUGGUUAAGGUUAGGGUUAGGUGUAGGGUUAGAUUUUAUGGUUGACUAAGGGUUAAGAUUAAGGUUAGGGUUAGGUGUAGGGUUAGAGUUUAUGGUUGAUUAAGGGUUAAGAUUAAGGUUAGGGUUAGGUGUAGGGUUAGAUUUUAUGGUUGAUUAAGGGUUAAGCUUAGGGUCAGGUGUACGAUUAGGUUCUAUUUUGAAUUAUUUACAUUCAACAUAGGGUUAAGUUAAAUUUAAUGGACAUUCAAUUCAGUGUUAGUUGAAUGUCAGUUGAGCAUCAACAAGGUCAUUAAAUGGACCAUCCAAGUAAAGUGUUACCAAAACGAAUGCCUAAUAUUGUGUAGAUAGAUCUCUGUGGCUUUGAGAUCCAACUGAUGGCAUAGAUCUCAGUCCCACU